UGGGGAUGCUGCUGCCCUGCCUGGGGAGCAGAGGCAGCCAAGCUCCCCCCCGGCACUGAGCCCUCCACCCUGCCAUGGGCUGCCACACUGCGAGCUGCUGUCCAGGGCCCUCUGCCACCACUGAGGCUGACAGGAUGCCGGCGGAUGCCAGCGCGAAUGCAGAGUAAGACAACUUUCUUAAACCACAAAACAGAACACCUUUGUGAUGUGUGUUGGGACGUGAGAGUUGAUUUCUUCAGCCGCCUUCUCUUGCUGCUCCUGGGAGUACAUGUAAGAGCCAAGCAAAAGGCAAGAGAGAGGUGAAGCUCUUCCAGCAGAGCCACCCACUCCUGUGCUGUGGCUGGAUGGAUGGUGAGUGCUCCACAGCAAUGCUAACAAGCACACUGGCAGCCGGGUCCCUGCAGGCUGUGGGUUAUAAACCAGCUGGAGGGAAGAGAGUGCACUGCAUAAACCAGACCAAUGUGGUUUCUCCCUGUUUAUUCAGUGGCUGCACUACCUGCAGCAAGCCAAGCUUUAUGGUGUUGAUACUUGGGGUAUGGUAACCCUGGCUUGACUGUGGGCAAUUUUUAAGGAGCUGGUGUAGGGAAAGUCUCUCUCUUCUGCUACUAAGUGUGCUUUUCCUGGGGAAAAGAAGGAAGUGAAAUAUGGGAAAUUACUGACCUUUGGAAAGUGUGCUGAGUCCUAACAGAGGAAAGUAAACUGAGCAGGAGUUGAGCUGUGGAUGAUACAAACAAGCUUCCCAGCGUAUUGAAAUUCCCAGGUUGUGGUUCUUUUUGCCCUGGUUUAACACUCGAGGCAUUAUCUGUCUGGUAAAGGCAUUACGCUGUGUUUUCCCCUCCAUAAAUAGCUACAGGGAGACAGUGAAGCAUAGGAUCUCCAUGCAGUCUCCUGCAGAUGCACUCUUUCCUUCAUCUGAAGGUGCUUUUUGCAGCACUGACGGAGAAUUCCAAUUCACUGUUGGCCUUUCUAACUAGAAGGUGCUACUGCUAAUUAGUGCCACCGAUGGGUCAGCUCUUGAGUCUAUACCCAGGAAGUAUCCCUAACCUACAUGAUCCCAGUACACAGCAUGUUUCUAUUUCUACAAACUGUACAUAUUUAUUUUUUACAAUAUAAUCUGAUGUCCUUGGGAUGACAAGGGACUGAUAUUCUGUGUUUUUAUCUCUCAUAUUGAUAAAUGAAACAUGAUAAAAGAAACUGAAAUCCUAGGCGUCCUUCCAGUAAGGCAGAAAACAAGCACACGGAUUUAGCUUUGUUACAUGUAAUAGGUGUUGUGCUUGAAUAUGGUAAUUUGUCAAAGGUAUUACCUCCCACUAAUUAAUCUCAGAGCCCUGCUGGAAGACAGGCUGCUCAGUAUUUGUCAGUUCACAUGUACACCCACUCUGAAUGGUUAAGGGAUCCAGGAGAAUGCUCUAAUAGGAAAAUUAUUUCAUAUAGAAAAGCAACGUGUUAACAUUUUCCAGAAGCCUUAAAGAAUCUUUUAUAUGGAGUACAAGAAAGAAACAAGUAGUGUGCAAAUUAAAGAUGAAUUUGCUGCCAUUGAACUGGGGAGUCAUUUAUUUUUGCUUGGAAAAAGCAAACCUAUUUAGCAAUCUACUGGGGAUCCUCCCAUUUUAAGUGCAGGCCUUUUAUCUCCAGGAGUUC
rnacentral:lncRNA from 1 species